UACGUAGGCAGCAAGCGUUGUUCGGAAUUACUGGGCGUAAAGAGUGUGUAGGCGGUGCUCCAAGUCUGGUGUGAAAUCUCCCGGCUUAACUGGGAGGGUGCAUUAGAAACUGGAAUGCUAGAGGAUGGGAGAGGUAAGCGGAAUUCCUGGUGUAGCGGUGAAAUGCGUAGAGAUCGGGAGGAACACCAGUGGCGAAGGCGGCUACCUGGACCAGCACUGACACUGAGUCACGAAAGCGUGGGGAGCAAACAGG
rnacentral:rRNA from 1 species